rnacentral:rRNA from 1 species
UACGAAGGGGGCUAGCGUUGUUCGGAAUCACUGGGCGUAAAGGGCGCGUAGGCGGCUUUAUAAGUCGGGGGUGAAAGCCUGUGGCUCAACCACAGAAUUGCCUUCGAUACUGUAGAGCUUGAGACCGGAAGAGGUAAGUGGAACUGCGAGUGUAGAGGUGAAAUUCGUAGAUAUUCGCAAGAACACCAGUGGCGAAGGCGGCUGAGUGGUCCGGUUCUGACGCUGAGGCGCGAAAGCGUGGGGAGCAAACAGG